rnacentral:rRNA from 1 species
GGCUUUCCCUAGUGAGUCUGGUGUGGGGAUGUUUGGCGAGGUCGCCUGUUGUUGGUGCUUGUGCCGCAGGGUGGGCGGAUUGCCGUUGUGGGGGUGGUUGUGAUUCGGCGGGGCGGGUGAGUGGAAUGUAUGUCGCCUUCUGUUUUCGGAUGGAGUCGGGAGCGCCUGUGUCUGCGGCGCGGGGGAUGCUGAGAAUAGGCUCGGGGGGGUCGGUCGAUUUUCCCCUCUGCCACUGCCGGGAUUCGAUUUCCCGUCUCGCAAUUUCUAGACUCCCGGCACGGAUGUGCUUGAUUUUGGAGGUAUCCGAGAAAUCGGCGCGCGCGUUCAACCAGCAUCCUUGCUCGCACCGCUCCGUUCGGAUGGAUUUAUCACUGCGUGUCGACCAAUGGACUGCCGGUGAAGAAUUGCA